CUUUACACAUGCAAGUCGAACGAGUAUGAGAAUUUUAGUUUACUAAAUUUUUUAUGCUAGUGGCAGACGGGUGAGUAGCACGUGAGAAUCUACCCAGUAGUAAGGAAUAACUGUUAGAAAUAGCAGCUAAUACCUUAUAAUCCCUGAGGGGCAAAAAUUUUAUUGCUAUUGGAUGAGCUCGCGCUAGAUUAUGCUUGUUGGUAGGGUAAUGGCCUACCAAGGCUACGAUCUAUAGCUGGUCUGAGAGGAUGAACAGCCACACUGGAACUGAGACACGGUCCAGACUCCUACGGGAGGCAGCAGUGAGGAAUAUUGGACAAUGGGCGAAAGCCUGAUCCAGCCAUGCCGCGUGAGUGAUGAAGGCCUUAGGGUUGUAAAGCUCUUUCAGCAGGAAAGAUAAUGACGGUACCUGCAGAAGAAGUCCCGGCUAACUCCGUGCCAGCAGCCGCGGUAAUACGGAGGGGGCUAGCGUUGUUCGGAAUUACUGGGCGUAAAGGGUGCGCAGGUUGCUUGGUAAGUUAAAAGCGAAAUCCCACGGCUUAACCGUGGGGCUGUUUUUAAAACUACCAAGAUAGAGUUCGAGAGAGGAUAGUGG
rnacentral:rRNA from 1 species